CUCCUCUUCAGCAGCACAUAUACUAAAAUUGGAACGAUACAGAAAAGAAUAGCAUGGCCUUGCACAAGAAUAACAUGCAAUUUUGUAAAGCAUUCCAUAUUUUU